UCUACCAUGCUACAUUGCCUUCAGUUAUGUUCCAGAUCUACAUACAUGUAGGAUACUCAUAUUUAUCAGUUGGAUUGUUAUACUAAAGUUCCUCAAAAUGCAGGUGAAGGCUUCUUUUGAAGACCCGCUUCAGGGACAAGCACUAGAAUGUCACUUAGUGAUUUUUGAAAGUUUUCCUGGCAUUUUUCAUUCCUUGCAAUGUUGACCCCAAAGCUCGUAACCAUUAAGAAUUUAACGUAAAGACCCUCCAAACUGCUGCCGUGACGAUUUCCUGACUUUUACCUAUUCAUCCACGGACAUAUGGCUGAUGCCGACGCCUUUGCAGGGCUAACUCUUAUGAAUUAACUAUUCCUAAAUACGGUUUGGGCGAACUUGAUUCAAGUCUUG